rnacentral:misc_RNA from 1 species
AACGCAUCUUGCGCUCCUUGGUAUUCCGAGGAGCAUGCCUGUUUGAGUGUCAUUUAACUUCUCAACCAACAUCAGAUGAUGUUGGCUUGGAUGUGGGGGUUGUUUUUGCAGGCUUUUUCUUGUUAGAAGGUCGGCUCCCCUGAAAUGGAUUAGUGGUAUCUGAGGCUACUACUGUGGGUGUGAUAACUAUCUAUGCCUUUGGUAUGCCGCAUGAACAGAUUACACUGCUUCUAACAAAACAAAAUUUGAUAAAUUUGACCUCAAAUCAGGUAGGACUACCCGCUGAACUUAA